GUGGGGAAUAUUCCGCAAUGGACGAAAGUCUGACGGAGCAACGCCGCGUGAGUGAUGAAGGUUUUCGGACUGUAAAGCUCUGUUGUUUAGGACGAAAGUGCCUGUUGCGAACAGUUACAGGUAUUGACGGUACUAAACGAGGAAGCCACGGCUAACUACGUGCCAGCAGCCGCGGUAAUACGUAGGUGGCAAGCGUUGUCCGGAAUUAUUGGGCGUAAAGAGCAUGUAGGCGGAGAUUUAAGUCUGUUGUGAAAAUGCGGGGCUCAACCCCGUAUUGCGAUGGAAACUGAAUUUCUUGAGUGCAGGAGAGGAAAGGGGAAUUCCCAGUGUAGCGGUGAAAUGCGUAGAUAUUGGGAGGAACACCAGUGGCGAAGGCGCCUUUCUGGACUGUGUCUGACGCUGAGAUGCGAAAGCCAGGGUAGCGAACGGGAUUAGAAACCCCGGUAGUCC
rnacentral:rRNA from 1 species